GAUGAACGCUGGCGGCGUGCCUAAUACAUGCAAGUAGAACGCUGAAGGAAGGAGCUUGCUCUUUCCGGAUGAGUUGCGAACGGGUGAGUAACGCGUAGGUAACCUGCCUGGUAGCGGGGGAUAACUAUUGGAAACGAUAGCUAAUACCGCAUAACAGUAGAUGUUGCAUGAUAUCUACUUAAAAGGUGCAAUUGCACCACUACCAGAUGGACCUGCGUUGUAUUAGCUAGUUGGUGAGGUAACGGCUCACCAAGGCGACGAUACAUAGCCGACCUGAGAGGGUGAUCCGCCACACUGGGACUGAGACACGGCCCAGACUCCUACGGGAGGCAGCAGUAGGGAAUCUUCGGCAAUGGACGGAAGUCUGACCGAGCAACGCCGCGUGAGUGAAGAAGGUUUUCGGAUCGUAAAGCUCCGUUGUAAGAGAAGAACGAGUGUGAGAGUGGAAAGUUCACACUGUGACGGUAUCUUACCAGAAAGAGACGGCUAACUACGUG
rnacentral:rRNA from 1 species